rnacentral:rRNA from 1 species
AUUGAACGCUGGCGGCAUGCUUUACACAUGCAAGUCGGACGAGUGGCGGACGGGUGAGUAAUAUAUUGGAACGUACCGAGUAAUGGGGGAUAACCAAUCGAAAGAUUGGCUAAUACCGCAUACUAUUCGAUCGGCCAAUAUCGGAUUAGCUAGUUGGUGGGGUAAAGGCCUACCAAGGCGACGAUCAGUAGCUGGUCUGAGAGGAGGAUCCGCCAAAAGGGGACUGAGACACGGCCCAGACUCCUACGGGAGGAAGCAGGGGGGAAUUUGGGACAAUGGGCGCAAGCCUGAUCCAGCCAGGCCGAGUGGAUGAAGAAGGCCUUCGGGUUGUAAAGGACUUUUGUUAGGGAAGCGGUACCUAAAGAAUAAGCGCCGGCUAACUACGUGCCAGCAGCCGCGGUAAUAC